CCUACGGGUGGCAGCAGUAGGGAAUAUUGCUCAAUGGGGGAAACCCUGAAGCAGCAACGCCGCGUGGAGGAUGAAGGUUUUCGGAUUGUAAACUCCUUUUGUUAGAGAAGAUAAUGACGGUAUCUAACGAAUAAGCACCGGCUAACUCCGUGCCAGCAGCCGCGGUAAUACGGAGGGUGCAAGCGUUACGCGGAAUCACUGGGCGUAAAGAGCGCGUAGGCGGGAUAGCAAGUCAGAUGUGAAAUCCUAUGGCUUAACCAGAGAACUGCAUUUGAUACUGUGAGUAUAGAGGAUGGGAGAGGUAGGUGGAAUUCCUGGUGUAGGGGUGAAAUGCGUAGAGAUCAAGAGGAAUACUCAUUGCGAAGGCGACCUGCUGGAACAUAACUGACGCUGAUGCGCGAAAGCGUGGGGAGCAAACAGGAUUAGAUACCCGGGUAGUC
rnacentral:rRNA from 1 species